rnacentral:lncRNA from 1 species
AGUCUAUCCCCGUCUGCGCCGCGGGACAGAGCACCGGGGCCCGGGAUCCAGAAGCCCCUACCAAUCCGGCCAGGUCAGGAUCUGGUCUCACGCCUGAGGGGCCUGUUCCCGGGUUGCACGCAAAACAGCCCCAGCGACCUCCGGGACGCCACGGGGAGCUCCCAGGCCUCCACCUGGAGAGGACUUGGUAGAGGAAGACAGCCUCCGUGCCGCCUACACGGAGCCAGGCAGCCUUCAGCGCCUCCGAGCCGCCUGCCCGCACUCGCCGACUGGAGGAACCGGAGCUGGCGCCCGAGACGCUGCAGCCCUACUCCCACUCUGGUGAGGAAACCAAGGACUAAAGAGAAGUCACAUAUCUGGGCUCCAGAGCCAGAGUCCUUAACCACUGUACUGCACUGUGCUGGUCCCUGUGCCUGGAAUCUUUGUCCUCUGUCUUCUCUCCAUAAUUACCAGCAACUCAAAACUCCUGCUUCAAAUCUCAGGCCAGCAUCACCUCCUCCCGGAAGCCCCCCACAUUCUUCACAUUGGAUUCAGUGCCCUUCUCAUUGCUCCUGUAGUACCUGUCCAUCCCAUCAUACUCUCUACAUUUUCCUCACAGCCUGGGCCCUGAACACAGCAGGAGGGUUUGUCUCCUGUACCUUUUUCUAGCUCUGACAGCCAGCAUGGUACCUGGAACAUAGUAGAUGUUCGAUAAAUGUUAGAGGGAAGGUGAGAAAGGGAAGGAAGGAAGACAGAAAGGGAUGGGGGAGUGGCAUGGAGACGGAAUGGAGGAAAGUUGUGAAAGAAUUGGGCCCUCUUGGGCAGGAUGAUUCUUCCAGAGAGAGCAGAAGUAGCAGUUGGCUUAGAGGAACUGUGGACACCUUUGCCCUUCCACAAAAUGAGGCCCAGUGAGCUUCCACAUAUCAGUUAGAAACUGCAUCUGCUGACGAUGACAAAGACCCUUAAAGAGUAGCUUAAAGAAUAUGGAUAUUCUCUUCUCUCAGGAUGGAGGUGGACAGUCCAGGCUAAAAAUGGCCCUUGGUUAUCAGGGACCCAGGAUGCUCUGUCUUUGGCUAUAUCAGACCAACCAAGAAGUUUUUUGUUUUUUUGGGUUGUUUUUUUUUUUUCUUUUUACAGCUGCACCUGCAGCAUAUGGAAGUUCCUGGGCUAGGGGUCAAAUCAGAGCUGCAGCUGCCAGCCUGCGCUACAGCCACAGCAAUAUCAGAUUCAAGCCACAUCUGCAAGCUAUGCUACAGCUUGUGGCAACACUAGAUCCUUAACCCACUGAGUGAGGCCAGGCAUCGAAGCCGCAUCCUUACAGAGACUACAUUGGGUUUUGAACCUGCUGAGCCCCAGUGGGAACUCUGCCACCAGGAAGCUUUCCUCCUCGCAUCAUCUAAGUCCAAGAUGGCUGCUUGAGCUCAGCAACCAUCACCUCAUUCCAGGCAACAGGAAGGAGCAGUGAAAAGAGGUAAAAGGGUCCCCUCCCUUUUAAUGAGACUUUCUGGAAUCCACUGACAACUUCUCAGCUUAUACCUCAUUGGGCAGACUCUAACCACAUGGCCACACUUAGCUGCAAGGAAGGCUGGGACCUGUUUAGUUGGGUACACUGUUGCCUGAAAUAAACUCAGGGUUCUGUUACUCAGGGGAGUAACAGCAGCAAGGGUGGGAGUUAGGGUAGAACAUCAGUAGACUCCUCAGCAAGCCACAGACAGGGUCACCCAGAACUGGAGUCAGGAAGCAGCUCUCUUGGUGGUGGCCUUCCAGGGGGUCACUGGUUGGUGGCUUGUACCUCUAAACCACAUAUUCUUGUUGACAAAGGAGACAAAGCCCUCAGACAUUGUAACUCUUGUUCGUUUUUGGUGCUCAGAGUUGCCCACUACAAUGAUUUAGAGUGGGAUUUGUCAAAAGUAAUUUUUAUCCCUAUUAAGAUCUUUGGUUAGAGAUCUAUUCAUUUUAGCCCUGAACCCCUCUCACACAAUACCAAUCCAGGAAGAAGCAAUUGUCUUUGAAAAACAACAACAACAAGAAAAUCCCAUGGGGUCAGAGUUCCUAUUGUGACUCAAUGGAUUAAGAUCCCAAUAUAGUGUCCGUGAGGAUGAGGGUUCAAUCCCUGGCCUCGAUCAGUGGGUUAAGGAUCUGGUGUUGUCGCAAGCUGUGGCAUAGGUCACACAUGCGACUUGGAUAUGGUGUUGCUGUGGCUGUGGCAGAGGUCUCAGCUGCAGUUCAUAUUUGAACCUUAGCCUGGGAACUUCCAUAUGCCACAGAUGCGGCC